GGGCCCAUAGUAUAGUGGUAAAAUGCCGCAAUGGCAUUGCGGAGUCGAGGGUUCAACUCCCUCUGGGUCCACCG
rnacentral:tRNA from 3 species